GACCUCAAGUCAUGUGAGAGUACCCGCUGAACUUAAGCAUAUCAAUAAGCGGAGGAAAAGAAACUAACAAGGAUUCCCCUAGUAACGGCGAGUGAAGCGGGAAGAGCACAAAUUUAAAAUCUACCUGGUUUCCAGGUCGAGUUGUAAUUUGAAGAAACGUUUUUGACGUUCCGGGUUGGGAUAAAUCCUUUGGGAUGAGGUAUCAUGGAGGGUGAGAAUCCCGUGUAUACCAACCGCAGGGAUGUUAUUUAAUACGUUUUCUAAGAGUCGAGUUGUUUGGGAAUGCAGCUCUAAAUGGGUGGUAAAUUUCACCUAAUGCUAAAUAUAAGCGAGAGACCGAUAGCGAACAAGUACCGUGAGGGAAAGAUGAAAAGAACUUUGAAAAGAGAGUUAAAUAGUACGUGAAAUUGUUGAAAGGGAAACGAUUGAAGUCAGUCAUGCCGGCGGGAAUCAACUUAGGGGAAACUUUAAGUGCACUUCACGUUUGGCAGGUCAGCGUCGAUUUUGGAUAUCAUAAAAUGAUUGGGGGAAGGUAGCUCCUUCGGGAGUGUUAUAGCCCUUGAUAGAUGUGAUGUCUGGGAUCGAGGAUUGCAACGGAUAUCCUUUGGGCUAGCCGCCUGAUCUCUAACUGGUGUUAGGUUACGGACAGCAUGCUGACCGUGAUUUAAUUACUGGUUAAAAGGUUAGAGCGAGUGUAAAUUCGUUAAGGACGCUGACGUAAUGGCUUUAAACGACCCGUCUUGAAACACGGACCAAGGAGUCUAACAUAUAUGCGAGUGUUU
rnacentral:rRNA from 1 species